rnacentral:lncRNA from 1 species
AAAGGGAUAUCUUCGGGGAGCUGCUACUCCUUUGCCCUCUCUACAAGAUAUUCAUACUCUUUGACAUACAUCUCAUCCUACAAACACAACUCACAAGAUAUACAUAACAGCUAUAAAAUUAAAUUUUGCUAGAGAUAUAGCACAACUGCACACAAGAGAUAUAGCAGAACGCAAGAGAUACAAAAGCAUAUUAUGAUAUGGGUAAUCAAUUUCUAAAAUGUGAUGAACGAUCCUGCCCUGCAUAUAUUAUAUCUCAUUUCUUCCAAAAUCCAGAGGGUGGUGUCAAAGGUGGCUUCGCCCUUGCUUGUAUCACAUAUAAGUACUUGUAAAUUACAAAGAAAUGAAUUAUAGGCAAAUCAUGGAAUGGAAUUCAUCACCUUGAAAUUAAAAUCAAAUCAAAUAUUAAAAGAAAAAUCUUUUACAAUCCCAAUUCUAGUUUCACACCCCUAAACAUAAUGUCACAAUUGAUCAAGCCCAUUUCAAUAAAACUGAAUUUCUUUGUAGUU